UAUUCCACGCACAGCUCACUAAUUUUGAUUCAUGAAGAAUCCACUUACUGAAAAGUGCAUCAAGCCACUGGUUGAAUUUUCAGCAAAAAAAGAUUAAGCAGAGAAUGGAGAGGAAGGUUGACUCCAGGUCUUUUAGGGACAGUGCAGUAAAGAAGCCUUAUUCUCCAAAGAUACUGUCCACAAAGAAAUCCUCUGCAUUCUCUGGGAGCCGGAGUGAGGGAUCUAGGGCCAGUCAGCCAGUGAAAUACCAUCCCUCCCAGGCCCGGGCCCGAAGGGACCGGCUAAGAGAACUGCGUGUCAGAUGCCUGGCCAGAAAGUACUUUCAUUUGUGGAUGCGAAUGACCUUUGGAAGAGUGUUUCCCUCUAAAGCCAGGCUUUACUAUGAACAAAAGAUUCUGCGAAAGGUCUUUGAAGAGUGGAAAGAAGAGUGGUGGGUUUCCCAUCGAGAGUGGAAACUCCGUGUUCGAGCUGACUGUCACUACAGAUAUUACUUGUACAGCCUGAUGUUCCAGACCUGGAAGACCUACGUGUAUCAGCAACGGGAGAUGAGGAGCAAGUACCUGAGAGCCGAGAAUCAUGAUGCAAAGCAAAAGAUGCGACAGGCCUGGAAGUCCUGGUUGAUCUACGUGGUUUUCCGUAGGACUAAACUUCAGAUGCAGACCACUGCCCUGGAGUUCAGGCAGCGGAGUAUUCUGUGGGUGUGGUGGAGUGCGUGGAGACGGCGACUGGGCCGGGUCCGCCUAGGCCGAGCCCUUCAGGCCACAGCCGUGAAGCACUGGGCCCAGAGCCUCCAGCUGCAGGCUUGGUCACGGUGGCAGGAGCAGCUCCUCUUUGUCUGGAGGGAGAGAAGGAAGAUGGUCUCCGCGGUGAAACACCUUCGGCGCCGGCAGCAGAGGAGAGCCCUCAGGGCCUGGCUUGAGUACCUGAAGCUGCGCAGAGAGAAGAGGCUGCAGAACCAGAUGGCCGAGCGAGUCCAGUGCACCACCCUGCUCCAGACGCACUUCUGUGCCUGGCGGCGCGCCUGGGCGCGGAGGGAGAGCCUGCACGCCCACCACGCGCGGGUGGAGGGCCUGGCCAGGAGGUCACUGCUGCGGAGGGCCUUGACACACUGGAAACACUACACGCUGCUGUGCACGGAGGAAGCUGAGCGGUGGAAGGCGGCGGGAGAACACCACAGGCGCGGCCUGCUGCAUUUUUGCUUUAAAGCCCUGAAAGACAACGUGACCCAUGCCCGUCUUCAGCGGAUAAGAAGGAAUCUUGCUCACCAACAGCAUGAUGUCAUGCUGCUGCACAGGGUCUGGAACCUCUGGCAGUCGCGGCUCGAGCAGAGGGAGGAAAGAGAGCAGCUGCCCUUCCUGCGUGCUGCCUGGGACCACAGCAGAAUAAUGUUGCUUCGCAAGUGCUUCCAGUUGUGGUCGCAGUCCACCCAGAAGAGGCGAUCCCAGCAGCUGUUGCAGGCCAGAGCAGACUGCCACUUCCAGCAGAGAGCCCUGCCUGCAGCCUUCCAGGCGUGGAGGAGACUCUGGCGGUGGCGCCAGCAGCAGCGAGCCCUCGAGGCCCGGGCAGCGAGCUUUCGCAGGGAGAUGUUAGAGAAGCAGGUGUUUGCCAUCUGGUGUCAGAAGACGUCUCAGCAUCAAGAACACCGCUUGGCAGAGAGGAUGGCCGUGCUCCACGCAGAGCGGCACCUUCUGCAGCAGUCGUGGUCCACGUGGCGCCAGCAGGCAGCGGCACACCGCCUGGAGCAGCAGCAGCAUGCCCUGGCCUGUGCCCACCACCACCUCGGGCGGCUCAGGAGGGCCUUCUGCGUCUGGAGGGAGGGCGCCCGAGGGCUCAGAACAGAGAGGAUGGGCAGUGUGCGGGCUGCACGAUUCCAUGUGGCGUGGCUUCUGCGCUGGGCUUGGACCAGGUGGCGGGAGCGCCGGGCCCUGCGCAGUGCCGAGUGGCAGAAGCUGGCGCGAGCCGACCUACACCACCAGCACAGCUUGCUGCACAGGGCGCUGCAGACCUGGGGGGUGUAUCAGAGCCAGGUGCGGAGCGUGCUGCAAGAGGCGGCUGCCAGGGAGAGCCGGCACAAGAGGCGACUGCUGAGGCGUGUGUUACAUCGCUGGAGAGAGAACACUGUGGCCCAAGCGGACGAAACGAAAAAGACGUCCCGGGCGGCAGCUCACUACAGAAGGACUCUGUGCUCCAAGGUCCUGCUUGAGUGGCGAGAGGCAGCAUCUGUGCAGGUGUAUUUCCGAGAGCAGGCGGAUGGGGCUGUCAGGGAGGCCCAGCUGGUGCUGCGGAGAGGCCGUCUCAGGACCUGGUUUCGGUGCUGGCGGGACCGAAGCCGGAGGGCUGCCCAGCAGAGGCUGCAGAUGGAGCGGGCAGUGCGGCAUUACUGCCGGAAGCUGCUGCAGGAGGCCCUGGCCCGGUGGAAGGUGCACCAUCAGGGCUGCGUCAGGAAGAGGCUGCAGCAGAGGCAGGCCGCCCGACUCCUGGCCCAGAUGCUUAGCCGGGCUUGCUUCCACCAGUGGAGACGACAGCUGCUGGACAGGAGGCACGAGCGGCAGCACACGGCGCGGGCCCUGUGGUUCUGGGCCUUCUCCCUGCAGGCGAAGGCCUGGGCCGCCUGGCGGGGCCUUGUGCAGGAGACGAGGAGGAAGAAGGCGCGGGAGGAGCAGGCGGCGCAGGUCUACCACCUGCAGCUCCUCAGGGAGGGCGUUGAGCGCCUCCUGCGUUUUGCAGCUGGCACGAAGGCCUUCCGGCAGCAGCUGCACGCCCAGCAGCAGGUGCAGGCGGCCCACAGUCUCCACCGCGCAGUGCGUCGCUGUGCCACGCUCUGGAAAGAGAAGGCGCUGGGCCCGGGCAGGGAGCCGCAGUCCCCUGUGUCCACUGAGCCCAGCAGAAGAGUGACGUUUGAGCGUCUGCUUCCUAGCCACGUUGCUGCCGGGGCUGGCGAUGCCCCCCUGGAGACUAAGAGGCCACCAGCUCCUCGUGGGCUUUGGGGAGCCUUGGACGGCCUGGCAUCAGCCCCUGGGGACCCCCAGCUCCUGGAGCUCAAUGUUGCCCGUUGGGCACGGAAGCAGCCGCGACGCCCAAGCUUCCUGGCAGAGCCCUUGCAGAGCCGGGCGCCCCUGGGGUGCAGCACCCCAGCAGGCAGGGGUAGGUGCUGCAGUCCUGGGGCCUUGGGGCCUGGCCCCCUCCUUCCCGCUCCUCUGGGGGCACGGCCUGACUGGCUCCUCCCGCUCCCCCCUCAGGUCCCAGGCCCUGUGGGAGUGCGGCCUACACCAGGUCCAGCCAGUGGGCCCCACCCGGUCAGCACUGGACCCAAGCAGCCCCCUGCCAUGCGCCUCUGGCCUGAAGCCGCCGCCCACGGCGCACCCCAGCCCAGAGCUGCUGCCCCCGUCCUCCUUUGCACCACGUGGGGCCCAAGUACCCGUUUGGGUAAGACCCCCGGGGCCUGUUCUGGCCUGGCCUUUGCUGCUUUCUCGCACACUCGGUGCUGUAGCCAAAGCUGUGCUCACUGCCUCGGGAGACGCACCCAGUGUAGGGGCCACUGUCCUGGGGACACGGCAGGGAGCGGCCCCCGAGGCCCCUGCUCAUGA
rnacentral:lncRNA from 1 species